CGUUUUUGCGUUUUGUAGAUAUAGGUUUAUUGCAACACACAUGAAAUUGUUUUAGCCGUCGCAGCAUGUGCUGCUGCACCGCCCGGUGUACUAUGCUAUACGAGGGAUUACAACAACACCAAAAAGAACUAACGACAACGCAACUUUGCUGCUAUUUAUAAAACCAAACUGAAGAACAAAAAUAAGAAAGAAAAGAUGUUUUUCUUUUACAUUUCUUUUGUAUCGCUUCUGUAAACUCUUGCAAAACUGCAUCAGAAGUAGUCUAUCAAACGGAUUGUCUGGUCGUUUAAUUGUUUAGUGAUUGAAUAGCGCGCGACAGUUACUUUUUCAAAUUUAACGUUAAGUCUCUCGCGUUUUCUCUCUCUCUGUCUGUCUCUCCGUCUCUCGCUCUCAGUUUUUUCGUUUCUCCUUGUUUUUUUGGCUGUUUAUUGAACGGUUUGUGAUAAAAUAUAUCAAUUAAUUGAAAGAAUCGAUUGAUCGAUCGAAUCGAGUGGCACACAAUUAAAUUCCACGUCUAAGCAACGCGCAGCAGAUUACGGUUUUUCUUUCCGUUUUUUUUUUUUUGUACGGUAUUCAUGCGACGAACGAACAUUUUAAAACGAAUCGAAGUGCAAGGGAAAGAAUUCAAAGAAAUUCUUCUUAAGUGAACUCGUGAAAGAAAAUAUUUUAAUAAAAUAUCAAAUUGUUUGAAAUUGAAAAGUUUCUCAAGUGCUCAAGAAUUCGUGUUACAUAAUUUUCAAAAAAAAAAAAAAAAAAAAAAAAA